rnacentral:rRNA from 1 species
AGAGUUUGAUCCUGCUCAGGAUCACGGCUGGCGGCGUGCUAAUGCAUGGCAAGUCGACGGGGCCGCCGUGCGGGCGGCCUGCGUGGCGGACGGGUGAGGAGCACGUGGGCAAUCUGCCGCGCGGUGGGGCUAGCCGUCGGAAACGGCGGGUAAUUCCGCAUGUGCGCAUCCCCGGCUCGGGGGGGUGCGGAAAGGCCUUUCGGGGGCCGCCGCGCGAGGAGCCUGCGUCCGAUUAGCUGGACGGUGGGGUCACGGCCCACCGUGGCGAUGAUCGGUCGCUGGUCUGAGAGGAUGACCAGCCACACGGGGGACUGAGACACGGCCCCGACUCCUACGGGAGGCAGCAGCAAGGAAUUUUCCGCAAUGGGCGCAAGCCUGACGGAGCAACGCCGCGUGCGGGAUGACGCUUUUCGGAGUGUAAACCGCUGUUCAUGGGGACGAAGCACUGACGGUACCCAUGGAGGAAGGCCCGGCUAACUACGUG